AGGACGAACGCUGGCGGCGUGCUUAACACAUGCAAGUCGAGCGGAAAGGCCCUUCGGGGUACUCGAGCGGCGAACGGGUGAGUAACACGUGAGCAACCUGCCCUUAGCUCUGGGAUAGCUCCGGGAAACCGGAUUAAUACCGGAUAUGACCUAGGCCGACAUCGGCCGUGGUGGAAAGUUUUUCGGCUAGGGAUGGACUCGCGGCCUAUCAGCUAGUUGGUGGGGUAAUGGCCUACCAAGGCGACGACGGGUAGCCGGCCUGAGAGGGCGACCGGCCACACUGGGACUGAGACACGGCCCAGACUCCUACGGGAGGCAGCAGUGGGGAAUCUUGCGCAAUGGGCGAAAGCCUGACGCAGCGACGCCGCGUGGGGGAUGAAGGCCUUCGGGUUGUAAACCCUUUCAGCAGGGACGAAGCGAAAGUGACGGUACCUGCAGAAGAAGCGCCGGCUAACUACGCGCCAGCAGCCGC
rnacentral:rRNA from 1 species